AAAGAACCUUUUGAAAUUUAGAAGUCUUUCUAAAGAAGGUGUUCUUAUGGUAAAAAAGAAAAAUGCUGUGAGACCUUAGGUAAGUAACUGUACUUCUCAGGAUUAACAGGGAUAAUAAAAAGGUGAUCUUUAGGACUGAAUGAGAAAGUAUAUGUAAAAAUGCCUAAGAUACCCAACACAGAGAAAGACUUAAUUAUUUUCUGUUAUUAUUUAUUAAAGUACAUUUUUGUAUACAAUUUUGUGUUUCUACAAUAUGAGUAUUUCACACCCAGAUUUAAGUAAAAUUUAGUAGGGUCCUUUUCUGUGCUAGGUGUUUUUUUUUUUUAUGUUGGCAUAUUUAAUUCCUAAAACAAUCUUACAAAGUUUGAAAAGUUGUUUCUUUUUAAAUAAUUAAGCCAUAUGAUUUCAGAAUGGCUAAGCAACUUGCCUAAUGUCACACAUUUGAUGUCUCCAGAUUCCAAGUUUCGUGUUCUUUCAUUUACAUUAAUAAAAAUUCUAAUAUCAGUACUUCAUAUGCACUGAAUUUGAAUAGAGCAUUAUACUCAGUUAAUCAUGUAUCACAUCAUUUUAUCACCAAAGUACACCUAUGAGGUUGCUGCCAGUGACUCCAUGGAGAUUAAAGAGUGUCAAGUCAUUGCCCCAGACCACACAGGUAGAAGUUGCAGAGCAAGGAUUUAAGGCCAAAUAGUUCUAAUUUUUCUGCCUGUGGUUGUCCUACUCCUUUACAACAUCCAUCAUUUCAGGGACUUAUUCUUACCAAAUAAGAGUCAAUGUGAGUAGGGGGAACAUACACAUUUUGUUUCAAUGUGACACUGUAGAUUGCUCCUAAAAUGUCACAGGCUGGGAACCACUAACCUAAGAUCUCCUUUUGAUUUUUAAUUGAGUCGCUCCUGAAAUGUCUUCAGUAUCUUUAACUCCAUGUUCUUUCCCUUCUUUGCUUCAGUAACUCCCAUGCAUUCUUCAAGCCUUAGAAUAACUGGAACCUCUUCUGAGAAGCUUUUCUUUCUACUUCCAGUCUCAAUGGGUGCUGAAUUUCAGCCCACUUCAAUUGUAUUGAAUUAUGUUCAACCACUAUCUAUUGAGCAUCAUUACAUACUGAGCUUUGCUGAGCAUCGAUGACAGAUAUAGCCCUUGCCUCAUAGAGUUGAAAGUCUAGCUGACAAAAGCAAAUAUUAAAAUAUAAAUUAUAUUUGGGAUGUGUGCAAUGGAAGGGGAAGGAAAUAGGCAUGAGGUGAGUAAUCUUAUUUUAUCAGUGAGGCCAGGGAAGGCUUUCCAGAGAAAGUAAAAAGUAAUGUGAAAUUUCAGGAUGAGUAAGAUUAAAUGAGGGUCACAGUGAUACUGGCGGUAAUGAAUGGAUGAUAGCUCGGGAGUGGUAGGGAACAAAAAGAUUGCUCAGGCCACUUGGAAAGAGCAAAACAAAACAAAAUCCAGAUGUGCCAUAGAGCAAGGGUCACCAAACUAUAAGACAGCAUCUGAUCUUGUAAAAUAAAAUUUUACUGGAUGACAGUCAUGCCCAUUGUUUACAUAAUGUCUAUAGCUGCUUUCAUGCUACAAUGGCAGAGUUGAGUAGUUGCAGAAAGACUUUAUUAGGUGCAAAACGUAGAUUGGUUAUUAUCUGUCUCUAUCAAAAAAGUUUGUCAACCUCUGUCUGUCUAUAUGUCUGACUAUCUAUCUAUCUAUCUAUCACAGCUGGACCACACCACAAGAUUCAGAGCACCCUAGGCAUAUAUUUUGUGGGAGGGCAAAUUCAUGUUCUUACUAUCUUUGAGUUAUGUGGGGAAAACAUCGGUUACAUAUCUAAUUUCCUC
ensembl:lncRNA